GCCACUGUGGUGAAAUGGUAGACGCGCUGGACUCAAAAUCCAGUGGUAGCAAUACCGUGUCGGUUCGAGUCCGACCAGUGGCA
rfam:Firmicutes bacterium CAG:313 genomic scaffold, scf61